GACAGAGGGUGCAAGCGUUGUUCGGAAUUACUGGGCGUAAAGCGUGCGUAGGCGGUUUUUUAAGUCAGGCGUGAAAGACCUGGGCUCAACCCAGGAAGUGCGUUUGAUACUGGAAAGCUUGAGACCGAGAGAGGUGAGUGGAAUUCCUAGUGUAGAGGUGAAAUUCGUAGAGAUUAGGAGGAACAUCAGUGGCGAAGGCGGCUCACUGGCUCGGUACUGACGCUAAGGCACGAAAGCGUGGGGAGCAAACAGG
rnacentral:rRNA from 1 species